GUCCUAAGGUAGCGAAAUUCCUUGUCGGGUAAGUUCCGACCUGCACGAAUGGUGUAACGAUCUGGGCACUGUCUCGGCCAUGAGCUCGGUGAAAUUGUAGUAGCGGUGAAGAUGCCGCUUACUCGCAACGGGACGGAAAGACCCCGUGAACCUUUACUAUAGCUUCACAGUGAACUUUGAGCAUGUUUGUGUAGGAUAGCUGGGAGGCUUUGAAACCAGGACGCCAGUUCUGGUGGAGCCAACCUUGAAAUACCAGCCUGACCUGUUUGAGGUUCUAACUUCGACCCCUUAUCGGGGUUAAGGACACUGUGUGGUGGGUAGUUUGACUGGGGCGGUCUCCUCCCAAAGCGUAACGGAGGAGCACAAAGGUGGGCUAAGCAUGGUCGGACAUCAUGCGGUUAGUGUAAUGGCACAAGCCCGCUUAACUGCGAGACAGACACGUCGAGCAGGUACGAAAGUAGGUCAUAGUGAUCCGGUGGUUCUGUAUGGAAGGGCCAUCGCUCAACGGAUAAAAGGUACUCCGGGGAUAACAGGCUGAUACCGCCCAAGAGUUCACAUCGACGGCGGUGUUUGGCACCUCGAUGUCGGCUCAUCACAUCCUGGGGCUGAAGCCGGUCCCAAGGGUAUGGCUGUUCGCCAUUUAAAGUGGUACGCGAGCUGGGUUUAGAACGUCGUGAGACAGUUCGGUCCCUAUCUGCCGUGGACGUUGGAGAUUUGAGGAAAGCUGCUCCUAGUACGAGAGGACCGGAGUGGACGAACCGCUGGUGUUCGGGUUGUGUCGCCAGACGCAUUGCCCGGUAGCUAUGUUCGGAUAGGAUAACCGCUGAAAGCAUCUAAGCGGGAAGCCCCUUCCAAGAUGAGAUCUCCCUGGACCCUUGAGGUCCCUGAAGAGCCGUUCAAGACCAGGACGUUGAUAGGUCGGGUGUGUAAGCGCUGCGAGGCGUUGAGCUAACCGAUACUAAUUGCUCGUGAGGCUUGACUAU
rnacentral:rRNA from 1 species